GAUGUUCUCCUGCAGCAGAUCUGAGGAGACAGAGACCCCAGCAGUUGGCCCGAGAAGCUCCCACCUGCACCUCCAGCAUCAACAGGCAGACAGAGCACUCCUGUGAGAGGGGACAAGUGCUUUUACUGUUUAGAACAUGCAUGAGAAGACAUAGCAGGAGGAGAGCAAACAUGACACCAACUUUUUUCAUUUCUUAGCCCUUUUGAUCUAUGUUACAGCUGAAGAUACAGAUGAAAAUUAAGGCUGAGCUAUCUGAUAUCCUGGUAUCUGUUGGGCACUUUUAAUCUGUUGGGAAUUUUAAUCGUUAGAUAUUUUACUUCUGAUUAUGUGAACAUAUACAAUUUAAUGAUUAAA
rnacentral:lncRNA from 1 species